GCGUCGGUGGUGCAACGGUUAGCAUGCGCUUCCUGAAGGGGUGAGAUCUGGGUUCGAAUCCCGACUGACGGA